CCUCAUUUUCUAAGUUAGGACCUAGGGGACUCAAGUAAAAACAUCCCAGGGUUAUAUGGUUAUCUGUUAAUGAGUUAAAUAAACAUACCGACAAAUUUAUUUUGUAAAGGUAAAUAACUCCUAUAAAAUUUCAUCGAAUCGCUUCGAUCCAAAUACGCCAAAAAUUAAUGAGGAUGUAACGAACAAUUUGUAAAAAGAAUUUUUUCGCUAUCUUUUUUUGUUACGAAGGAGAUACGCUUUGAUGAUAAACAGUGAAUAGGGAGAUAACUCUUACAAAGAAAAUGGUUCGGUUUAGCAGGGUGAAAUUUAAAAGCGCAUAAAGUAUACGAUACAAUAUGAGAAAUAUCUAAGCGACAUAUUGCGAAACAAACAUUUAUCGCAAGAACAAAAGUUGGCGGAAAAAAAAAAAAAUAAUAAUAAUAAUAAUAAUAAUCAGAACAAAAACAAUAAGUCUUUCCAAAGAAAAGUGGAAAGACUUAAUAAUCAGAACAAAAACAAUAAGUCUUUCCACAGAAAAGUGGAAAGACUUAAUAAUCAGAAGA
rnacentral:lncRNA from 1 species